ACACCUGGUUCAUCGGGGCAGGGCUGGGAGGAUGUGGGGUUUGUUUGUCUUUCAAUUCAGACCAAAUAUCUGCUGAAAUUUAAACAUCUCCUGGCGUGGGUGACAGCGUGUUACUGAGGCGUCUUUGUUGUUUAGGUGUUGGAGCAUGGGAUCAAUGUAAUUGCCUUUUCCCUCAAGUGAGGACGCAGCAUUUCGUGCUGCCUUAAGUUCAUUUUCUUCUGAGAAAGCUCUUUUGCAGCUUAUGUCAGCAAGCAGUUUUUAGCGUUGACCCAAAGUUUAAACUUUGGCAGGAAGAGCGCUGAAAAACAAAAACCAAAAAGGUAAAAAAGAGCUGACUCCCUAUCGACUUCAGCUGCAGUUGCUUCUGUUUUGGUGGCUGUGCUAACACUGAGCCAGAAAGGUCAGUGUUGUCAAUUAGCUGGCUUAACCUCAUUUCCCCUGUAACUUUUUAGAGAAUGCUGCAGCUUUCUUGCACGGUCGGACUGAUGCUGUGAGAGGGAGCAUUGAUGCUGGCAGCUUCUGUUUCAGGCAUCCAUAGGAGAUAGAUGUCAAGUUUUCUCUACUCCUAUCUGUUUGGGAGUGCUGCUGAGGUCUUGCUCGCCCAGCCCUUGGUCUCCUUGAGGAAUCUGCCACUAAGUGUGCCCAUUGUCCUUCUUUUGAAAUGGGCAUUGGCCUCAAAAUGAGUCUGGCCCCUCAUUCCUUACAUGCCAGCAAGGCAGCGAAUCUGCUCCACAGCAUCCAUAGGGUUAAUCCUAGGCAGGGAGAAUUGUUCCAGGCAGAGGUUUUCAAUUGUGCGAGAUGUUUCAUGUGCCAGGUGCUUGAUGCCCUGUAAAACUGCAGAGAUGCGUUGGCUGCACUGCAACGUCCCCUCCGUGCCUUGAAAUAAAAGCCUGCACGUGCAGGCAGCCCCUGUGUGUAGGAGCGAGGUUUGCAGCGUGUCCAAAGGGCUUAAAAAUAACCUAAAGGGGAUGUGAAGUUUUACAAAGCUCCAAAGCCAAGUUCCCCUGCUGUUGCCAGCAAGAAUGUGUGAGGAAGAUGAGUAGGUCAGGAACCCAAAUCCCGCGGUGGUGGGCUCCUGCUUUAAUGUGCAGGCUGUGUGUGUGGGUUUUCCUCGUAAUGGUAUGAUGGACCGUAUGCUAACACAGUUUUGAUUGCAAAUAUGUGGCUGAUCCACCAGUGGGUUGGUGGGAUUUAGUUUACAGCCUUUUUUUUUUUUUUAAUCACAGACAGUUGAAAGUUCAUCCUCUGAAGUCAGAACCCAAACCAGGUAAAAAUCAACCCUAAUGGGAACUUAACAUUGCAACUGGUAAAUGCUGCCUGCUGCAAAUCAAUUUGUUUCCUCCAGUUCUGCAGAGCUCUGUUUGUUCUCUGCGGUCAGAGUUAAAAGCAGCUCCGCAACCCUCGCUGGAAGCUGGCAGUGUGUAAUUGGGACUCCCAAGUGCUGAGAGAUAACUGCAUUUCUUGCUAAUGAGGCUGCUGACUUGCUGCCCCGGGGCUUCCCACAAGGUGCAGCUCGGUGCUGGCGUGAAACCAGGACUCGGUCUGCCUCGAAAUCCCAGCUCUGGGAGGCGGCAGGACCCCGUCCAUCCCUUUUGGUGCUUCCCAUGUGGACCCCAAGGACAGCCAGGAGAUGGGCGCGUUGUUUCCAUUCGCCUGUGUGUGGGUGGGAUCCCAGGGGUGUGUUUUUAUCUGGCAGGAGCCCUUCCCUCUCUUUGGGGUUUGGGACGUGGUCAGCUCAGGGCUGAAGCAAGGUAACUCCUGCUGCAGGGUGCAGGGAAGUGGACAGGCUCUGAGCAGUGUGUAUUUGGGUGGAGGACCUGCUGCAUCACACAGCCUCCCGUAGACAGGUCAAUCUCUUCUUCUUGUCCUUUGCUUUCACUUUUAACAUACACAAAUGAGGGAGUUCGUAUUUAAUGCAAAUGUUCUGUCAAGCAUCUGCCCACCUGCGCUGUGCCUUGCUGCAGGGAAACAGCCAAGUGCUUUACAAGCCAGAAUGUGUCUUCAUUACACAUCUUAGGAUGGCGUCCUGGAGAGCCCAGCUUCCCAAACACGCCUCUGCUCUGCAGUCUGUGCACAGAACAGGGUCACAGCAGCAGUGACCCAUCCGAGGGACUACUCCUAUUUCUGCCUGCCUCAGUUUCCCUGUUGCUGUCUGGAGACUGGUCCUGGUGGCUUGCAUGGCCACGUUCUUGCAUGCAAGGUGAAACCCAGCACCAAAAAAAACCAGCAGUUGCCUCUCUCUGCUUCAAGUUAUCCUCUGACCCCUCUCUCCUCUGCGUACUGGUGCUGGAGGAGCAUUUGCUUGCCUGCACCCAUUGGGACGGGCAGUGUGCAUGCAAACUGAGAGAGGCUUUGCCUGGAAACCCAGGAAAGCCCAGAGAAAGCAAACGCUGAAGGGUGAAGAGAUUUCAGGGCAGCACAGAAUUUUAUCCGGCGUCUUUCUGAAUGUUUUUGCAUCUGCAUUGACAGCAAAGGUGAGAGCUCCUCUUCGGCUGUGGAUUGUUCAGCAUGAAUCCUCAGCCGGCAAGAGGGAGACUCUAAUAAAUUGAGGGCCUCUGGCUCCUGUGGUAUUUUCGAUGCUGAUUGCCGGUGGAGGAGGUGAGAAUUUGAGCUGAAAAAGAGCAAUUAUCUUCCUAUGCACUUACAAAAUGCCCAUCACUGUGGUAUCCAGCUAGGAUGGGGGAACAGUUUCCCAGGAGGGAGGAGACUGCAUCUGUCUUUCGCCAGCUUUUUUAGUGUCAACUUGCAUCUACUUAAGGAACAAAGCUGUGAAAAGAGCUGGAAAGGGGGCAGCUGAUGAUGCCCCGUGCAGCCUUCUCUCACCCUUCAUCCUUCAGGGAUCCACGGCAUGAAGUACGCCCCAGACUGCGGUGUUCUUAGCUUCGGUACAGAGAGCAGUGAUAUUUGCAAGAAAGAGGAGCAAAGCCCCAUUCCUUCCUCUUUUUCAUCGUGUACUCCCCAAAGCAUGUAACAACUGUGCAAUUACAGUGUAGUUACACGAAGUGGCCUCUAAUUUGCCAUGUAAUUAUGGCGUGCUAUGCUUUGAUAAGCCUUAUAAAAUGAAGGGAUAACACAGUCCUGUGCAGGAGCAAGCUCUCCAAAGGGAGCUGAGGAGCAAGCUACCUGCCGUCCCGCUACCCCAAAUCCCGAAGGGAUUGCUGCAGUUAGACCUGGAGAUGCCAGCUUGAUGCUGGAGGUGAGAUGGAAGGCGGCUUGGUGUCCUCCUGUGCUGUUGUGGUGGGAGCAGACGUGUCUCAGAGACUCAGAUGCAUCUCAGGUGCUACCUCUCAGGGCAGAGGUAGGUGUGAGUCAGAGCAGAUUUGUCUGAAUCUGGUGUUGGGGUGUAAGCAGGCAGGGCUGUCACGCCGAGUGACUGCUUUCAGUUGUAGUACUUCAGUCGGGAUUUGGGGGAAGAAAGGAACAAAUCCAUGUGGAUUUGUCUCAGGCAAUUAAAGAGAGUCUUUUCCUCUCCACACCAUCAGCUGGUACCUGCAUGGGCACCUGAGCUGUAUUAAGGUGAGCAAACCUUAUCUAGGAUAGAUUUAGGACAGCAAGUGUCACUGCUAUCCCUGGGAUGAACUGAAAGGAUCGAGCUGCUGGCAUCCUACAGGCUUAUGCAUUUUGCUGCAGGGGAAGACCUGAGCUUGGUAGGGUGGUGCCAGGGCACCAACUGAAGUGAAGACGGGAGGGAUGCUCAGCUUUGCUUGAAGGCGAAGAUUCCCCUGGGAGCAGGGGCUGACCAUGGCACUGUGAAGCUGGGGAUCCCGACAGGAACAGUGGGGACCGACUGAGAUCUGUCUUCCCCAGAUUCACUUGUCGGCUGGGAGUUACGGGCCAGUUUGCAGCUUGUCCAAAUCAGCUUUGCUCUGCUGAAGCCAGGGAUAUAUGCUCUGAUCCAGCGUAAAGCCUCAGCGCUGUAGCUGAUACAAACUGUACAGCUGUCUGGCAGCCAAAAAUUGGGCCUGUGUCCCUUCUUUUUUUUUUUUAACCCGCGACAUAGUUAUGCAUCGCAGCUCUUUUGUUCCUCUUCCGUGACUAAGCUGCUCACUGCCUUGUUUCUUCUUCUUUUUUUUUUUUCCUUCGUUGUGUAGUUUAUAAUCUCCCAACUAGAUACAGAAAAAAAAAAUUGUUUGCAAUGCUGGCCAAGAAGGCUCUGGUUUCACUGGCAUCGGGCCAUGCUUACAUCCCCAGUCAAAAUACUGCUGGUUAAACAAUAAAUAUUUAUUGAUUCUCCUACAAGCUUCUACAUUUUUCCCAGGUGCGGUGGAAUUUGGGGGGGUGGAGAGCACUUGAGUCCCAAAGCGGCUUCUUUUGGGCUGCGGCGGCUGUGCCGGGUUUCUGUGGAAUUUACUUUUGCUCCUCCUGAUGACAAAACCGUGAGAUGGCUCCGGAGAUAGCAGCUCUCCUGCGGGCUGGGAUGCGAAGGGGAUGCGAAGGGGAUCCUCGCAGGCUGGUUUUGGUACCGCUCUGUGUCUCCAGGCAUUCAGCCUGUAGCUCUGCUCCAUUCAGCUGCCUGUCCGGACUGCCCCAGGUUGCAGGAUUUGUACCCGUGACUGCUGCAGGCUCUGGUGGUAAUUAUGUGAAAAUGUGCAAAUCUACAAGUCUCUUUAUCUGCCUGAACAUCUCCUUGAAUAAGGGAGUGACUCCUGUCCAGAGGCGAUCCGUAGUUCAAUGUCUGGUCCAGAGAGAUGGCAAAAAAUAAAAAUGAAAAAAAA